GAGAGGUUUUGGCUCUUAGUACCAUUUUGAAUUGAAACAGAACGAUGAGAAGGUUCAGAACAAAGGGCGAUUACGAAGAUCUCAGAAAUGCUCGAAUUUUGGAGAAUAAGGCUCGAUUGGCGUCUCUCGGAGUACACAAAACCAUCUUGGACCUCCGAUCGGUGGCAAAACCCGCGAAGAAUCAUGUCAGAAAGGACCCUAAAGUCGACUAUGAACGCACUCUUUCGCGCCGUUCCAAUCGGUUGAAGCAAAUAAGCGUCGAUUUAGAACCUGAGCAGACCCCAUUGCAGCGCUCCACUCGGUUGAGAACAGAUUUUGACUAUUUGGUGAUAUCUACAGCAAAAGAAAAAGAGUAGAGUUCGUUAACUUGGUCUGGUGACGGGGAAGAAAAGAGGCCUGCAAAUGCACCUUUGGUGGGAGUCAGCGGUGCGAAGCCGCUGCAACUUUUGCCCGAAGAAUCGGCAAAGCAUUGCCCAAGCACGGGUUGGAAAAUUCGGCUAAGAUUCGGAAUUAUCUGCCACUCGUGCAGGCAAACGAAAUUGUGUGGCGAAGAAGAUUGCAAGCGAUGCAGCAAUCUAGAUACAGAUCAACCAUGCAUGGGUGAGUGUUAGAACAGAAAUUCUCUCCUAUAUCUUCAAUUAUUUGAAUACUUUAACAUCUUCAAAUGAUUCUUAAGCAGGCAAGACAGAUUGUUCAGUAUGUCAUUCUAGAAAUGGCGUGCUUUGCCGAGCUUGUCUCAAGAUUAGGUAUGGUGAAGGUAUGUCUAAGUAUAGGACCCAAUAAAUGGAUGAUUUUCAGUCAAUGGAUAAUAAGAUACGUAAACUACCUAUUAAGUGUCUCAAUCAUUAUUCUUCGAGCUAUGUUCAGAUUAUUAUCCAUAUUUUUUGUUUUUGGUUCAUCACAUUUGGGCCAUGAUCCCUGCACGGUUACUUUUUAUAUGCAAAUUGAAACUGUAAAAGAAUUUAAAAACAUUUUUUUACGUAAUUCUCUGCUAGAACUUGAGGAGGUCAGAGGAAAUGCGCAAUGGACGUGUCCUCAUUGCGUAGAAGAAAAAGGACUGAAUCCAUAUUGGAUAUGUAAUAGUACAAUUUGCCUAAGGAAGCGGAAGAUGGCUUCGGUAACUAUACAUAAAGCUCGGGAGAUGGGAUUCAAAUCAGUGGCACAUCUACUAAUGGAUGAGCUUCAACGAGCAGAGAAACGCUGAUGUUGAGGAAGAUAUCAUGCUAACACCAAGAUGUAUUAGGAUAGCAACAUGAUGAGCACAGCUAAAUGUAAUGACUUCUAGCCCUGUUUAGAGUUACUGCAGUGAUCUAUAUGUACAAAUUAUGAAAUUUAAACUAAUGAAGAACUGAUUUUGGCAUUCCCUAGACCUGACUCCGAUGAGCUGAACUUGUCUACGAGAUUUUAUAACAAGUUCUUAGAUUACAGGCACAAAUUUGUACUUACCUAUACCUCUCCAUACCUGUUAUGACUUGGAAAUUGAUAGCUUAUAGUUCCUCCAAGAUAAUUCAGUGUCCAACUGAAAUUAAUUACAUGCACUCAUAUACUGGUAUCAAGAUUUUAUAUUUUUGACUUGACUGCAAUGUUCCCAGACUUCUGAAGGGUAAUGAACUGUGUUGUAAUGCAUGCUUAGCAUCUGAAAGAGAAAG